rnacentral:rRNA from 1 species
CUACGGGAGGCUCCAGUGAGGAAUAUUGCACAAUGGGGGGAACCCUGAUGCAGCAACGCCGCGUGGAGGAUGACGCAUUUCGGUGUGUAAACUCCUUUUAUAUGUCAAGAAAAUGACGGUAGCAUAUGAAUAAGCACCGGCUAACUCCGUGCCAGCAGCCGCGGUAAUACGGAGGGUGCAAGCGUUACUCGGAAUCACUGGUCGGAAAGGACGCGUAGGCGGGUUGGAAAGUCAGGUGUGAAAUCCUACAGCUUAACUGUAGAACUGCACUUGAAACUUCUAAUCUAGAGUAUGGGAGGGGGAGAUGGAAUUAGUGGUGUAGGGGUAAAAUCCGUAGAUAUCACUAGGAAUACCUAAAGCGAAGGCGAUCUCCUGGAACAUUACUGACGCUAAGGCGUGAAAGCGUGGGGAGCAAACAGGAUUAGAUACCCGAGUAGUC